UACGUAGGGGGCAAGCGUUGUCCGGAAUUAUUGGGCGUAAAGCGCGUGUAGGCGGUCCGCUAAGUCGGCUGUGAAAGUCCAGGGCUCAACCCUGGGAUGCCGGUCGAUACUGGCGGACUAGAGUCCGGAAGAGGCGAGUGGAAUUCCCGGUGUAGCGGUGAAAUGCGCAGAUAUCGGGAGGAACACCAAUGGCGAAGGCAGCUCGCUGGGACGGUACUGACGC
rnacentral:rRNA from 1 species